rnacentral:rRNA from 1 species
UUCCAGACUCCUACGGGAGGCAGCAGUGGGGCCUCUUGGGCAAUGGGCGCCAGCCUGACCCCGCCACGCCGCGUGCCGGAAGAAGGCUUUCGGGUUGUAACCUUCUUUUAAGAGGGCCGAGCAGAAGACGGUCCCUCUUGAAUAAGCCACGGCUAACUACGUGCCAGCAGCCGCGGUAAUACGUAGGUGGCAAGCGUUUUCCGGAUUUACUGGGUGUAAAGGGCGUGUAGCCGGGCUGACAAGUCAGAUGUGAAAUUCCGGGGCUCAACCCCGGACCUGCAUUGGAAACUGUUGGUCUUGAGUAUCGGAGAGGCAGGCGGAAUUCCUAGUGUAGCGGUGAAAUGCGUAGAUAUUAGGAGGAACACCAGUGGCGAAGGCGGCCUGCUGGACGACAACUGACGGUGAGGCGCGAAAGCGUGGGGAGCAAACAGGAUUAGAUACCCCGGUAC